ACUCUUAUCAAAUUAAUAGACUUCAAUUAAAUCCUAGAUAAAUUUUAAUAGAAUUCAAUCAAACCCUAAACAAACACUAAAUCCUAAACCAAAUCUUAACCAAAUCUUAAAUCCUAAAUCAAAUCCUAGAUAAAUCUUAAAUCCUAACCCAAACUUUAGAUAAAUCCUAAAUCUUAAAUCAAACCUUAGAAAAAUCCUAAUCAAAUCCUAAUCAAAUCAUAAAUCUUAAACUAAAUCCUAACCAAAUCCUAAACCCUAAACCAAAUUUUAACCAAUCCUAAAGUCUGAACCAAAUCCUAAGGUAUUUUAGAACCUCAAUAACUUUUGAUUAAAUCAUUGAUCUUAUUUAAAACUUUACACAUCUCUCA
rnacentral:lncRNA from 1 species